ensembl:ncRNA F08C6.17 ncRNA
UGGUGCGAGAAAAAAAAACGAAAACAGUGUUUUGAAACGCAACAAAACUGGUCAUAUUCUCCCAAAAAGUAGCCGUCGCGCAAGGGGCCACUCUCGGGCUUCGUGUCCGUCAGUUUGGCGCCUUUUCUCUGUGGCGCGACCGCCGACACCGAGACAAUCAACAAAACCGAACUGAUGAUCAGACCGAAAAGAGAGUGAGAAGGAGAAAUA